GCUCUUAACUUGAUGCUGUUGACGUGGUCGGGACUCUGUUCACGUGACUGUUGUUGACAUGACGCGUAUAACUGCGCUGUGGCGGGACAUGACAGCUCACAGCUCCUCAGAAGCUCCGUGAGCUGUCCAGUGAGGGGAUGGUUUCAUGAUCAAAUCUUCAUUUACUGUCCACAUUAUCAGAUGAGGACGUCACCAAAGAGUGUCCUUUGAGUCAAUGUUUACAUUUAUGUCAUUAAGAAGUAGAACAUUUAGUUACCCAUGAUCGGAUACAAGUUGUCAAGGAUAAACGGAAAGAGAAUCAUGUCAGCCCACAGACAACCGGUUGACCUGUGAGUCUUCAAGCAGUAAUGAUGACUACGCCUGCCUUAAGUUCCAGUUUCCUGAACAUCAUGUCGGCAUGAGAUUCUGUCCCCACCUGUCUUCAGUCUGGACCCAAUGAUUCGGACACCAGUCUUGUCGAGGCUAAAUUGAGAUCAAGCAUUGACGGGAAAACACCCAAAGUCCAUCACUCAUGCACCGAGGAUCUGGCUGAUUACUGGAAAUUAGGAAGAUUGUUCUUUAUCUGCACUGUCACUUCUGGUAAAUAUUUAUGGACCUUUUGCGGUAUGUUUUGCUUUGACUUAUCAACUGAUGGUGAAUAAUUGGUUGAUUUUGAAAAUGUACAUUAAAUAAAAUGUUUUAAAAUCAA